GUUAUAUGGUCAAGCGACUAAGCGCAUACGGUGGAUGCCUUGGCAGUUGGAGGCGAUGAAGGACGUGGAAGUCUGCGAAAAGCUCGGGGGAGCUGACAAACAAGCGUUAUAUCCCGAGAUGUCCGAAUGGGGAAACCCACCUAUCAUAAGAUAGGUAUCUUGUACUGAAUACAUAGGUACUUGAGGCGAACCCGGGGAACUGAAACAUCUAAGUACCCGGAGGAAAAGAAAUCAACCGAGAUUCCCUAAGUAGCGGCGAGCGAACGGGGACUAGCCCUUAAGCUUCAUUUGUUUUAGUGGAAGGCUCUGGAAAGUGCCGCGAUACAGGGUGAUAGCCCCGUACACGAAAAGACAUUUAAAGUGAAAUCGAGUAGGUCGGAGCACGUGAAACUUUGACUGAAUAUGGGGGGACCAUCCUCCAAGGCUAAAUACUACCAACUGACCGAUAGUGAACCAGUACCGUGAGGGAAAGGCGAAAAGAACCCCGGAGAGGGGAGUGAAAUAGAUCCUGAAACCGUAUGCGUACAAGCAGUGGGAGCCCCCUCGAGGGGUGACUGC
rnacentral:rRNA from 1 species